rnacentral:tRNA from 1 species
AAUAAAGUGCCUGAACUAAAGGGUUAUUCUGAUAGAAUAAAUUAUAUAGAAAUUUCUAUCUUUAUUA